UGGCCCAACGACUUAUUCCAUUUCCCACGAUGUCGGCUCCAGUUUGAGUCCUGGCUGCUCUCUGUUAAUGUCCUUGAGAAAGCCAUAGGAGAUGGCUUAACGACCUGAGCUCCGGUACCCAUGUGGGAGACCUGGAUGAAAUUCCAGAGCCCUUCCUGGCUUUGAACUGCUCCAGCCCUGGCUGUUGUGGCCAUUUGGUAUAAUUCAGUUAAGGAACUCAAGAUGAAAUCAUCUUGGAUUUUGGAUGACCUUGAAAUCCAACUACUGGUGUUCUUAUGAGAGAAAGGAGAGGGAAAGGCACAAGGAAGAAGGUCGUAUGUAAAAUGAGAUGAAGACUCAAGUUCUGCUACCACAAGUCAAACAAUGCUGGGAGCCACCAAAUCUGGAACAAGAAUGGAAGGGUCUCCUCUAGAGCUGUGUGGCACACCUGCGAUUGUGAUGUCAUUCACUAUGAUGUCCUCACCAGAGCUGAGUUGAUGCUGGCACCAUGCUUUGAAUAUCCAGAAAAAAAAGAAUACAGAAACCUGAAAUGGAUGCAGUCAUGAUGGAAGAUUAAAGAAGUGUUCUGAAAAACUGGAGCUGGGAGGCAUCUGAUGAAUGCUUCUAAAUUUGUAUCAAGACAACAAAGAAUGAAUACAGAAGGAGGGACACCAAGGCAGAAAGACUUCCUUCAUUGCCUGAAAGCAGACUGAGGCAGUGAGAGCCAGUGAUGCGGAGAGAGACAGAUCUUCCAUCUGUUGGUUCGCUACCCAAAUGGCUGUUGGGGCUGUCCAGGCCUUCCCCAGCAACCUGGAACUGCAUCUAGGUAGGCCAUGUGGGUGGCAGGGUCUCAAGUACCUGAUCCAUCAUCUGCUGCCUUCCCAGGCUCAUUACUAGGGACUUGGAUGGGAGGUGGAACAGCCAUGACUAGAACCUGUGCUCAUCUGGGAUGCUGGCAUCGCAGGUGGUGGCUUAACCAGCUGGGCCAUAGUUGCAGCCCCCAAGAUGAGGUUGGAAAAACCUAAAGUUGUGUACAUAGAGGUAUGUAUUUGGUCUGGUGUCAGCCUGGCCAAGCAAUAGCAGUUUCAUCAUUUGGGACGGAAAAUAGCAAAGCAGACAUUAUGUCUGUUUGUGUCCACCUGUCUCCCUGCCUUAUCUUUCUUGCUUUCAAGAUUUGUUGUGUUUAGGUGAAAGAUGGAAUGACAAUGAGAGAGGCAGAUACAGAGACACAGAGAUCUUCCAUCCCCUGGAAUAACCCCAAAACUGCUGAGAUGACUGGGCUGCCAUCCCAGGUACAUUAGUAGGCAGCUGCAUGGAAAGCAGAACCUGGGAUCCUGUAUGCACCACAAAAGAGGCCUGCUGAGGCCCAACACCCCAUCCCACAAGGUUAGAAGAGCCAGCGAGCCAGAGAGAGACUACACUGUGGGAGGCAGCAGGUGAUGGUUCAAGUACCUGGGACCUUGCCACACACCUUGGAGACUGGGAUGUUCUUCGUUGCCUAACAGCUGACUGAGGCAGCGAGGGCCAGCAAAGUAGAGAGAGACACAUCUGCCUGUUGGUUCACUCCCUAAAUGACUGUUGGGGAAGGCCAGGCCUUCCUCAGGAACCUGGAACUUCAGCCAAGUCAGCCACGGCUUCCUUUAUUGCUUGAAAGUGGAAUCAGGCAGUGAGAGCCUUGGAGGCAGAAAGAGACAGAUCUUCCAUCUGUUGGUUCACUUCUCAAAUGACUCUGAUAGGUCAGGCCUUCCAUAGGAGCCUGAAACUGCAACCAGACAUCCUUCACUGCCUGAAAGUGGACAAAGAUAGAGAGCAAUCUUCUGUCUGCUGAUUCAUUCCCCAAAGAGAUGUCAUGACAUUUCAAGCCUUCCACAGAAACCUGGAACUGCAUCCAGGUAGGCCACGUGGGUGGCAGGGGCCCCAAUACCUGAUCCAUCACUGGCUGUUUUGUUUUCCCAGGUGCAUUAGUAGGGCCCUGGAUUGGAAGUGGAGCGUUCAGGACCGGAACCUGUUGCUCAUCUGGGAUUCUGGCAUUGCAGGCAGCAGCUUAACACAUUGGGAACAAUGCUGGCCCCCAAAGUGAGGUAUAAAAACCUCUGUAAUGUGUAGAAUGCACUUGGUCUUGCCAGUAGUUCAGGUGUGUCUUGUGAUGCCCACAUCCACAAUGUAGUGCCUGAGUUCCACUCCAGGCUCUGUUCCCAUCCAACUUUCUGCCUGUACAGAGAGGUUGACAACAGUCCAUGGCAAGGGCUUUGGUGUGACACCUGAAGUGAGCGCUUGGCAGCCAGCUUCAGCUUCAACCAGUGCUAGCUUAUUCAGAGAUUUAGGGAGGAAAUCAGCAGCACAUGGGAGAUUUCGUUCUUUCUGUUUGCUGUCCCCCUCCAUCUCUCUGCUUUCAUUAAUGGGUUCAAGAAGUGCUUUUAGUUAUGGGAAAAGCAGAGGAACACAGAAACAAGGACAGACAGAGAAGGAGAAAGAGAUCUUCCAUCUACUGGUUCACACCAAAAAUGGCUUCUUGACGAGGUCAGCAUAGCCUAAUGCCCAGGAUCUGGGAGCCCCAUCCCAGUCUCCUGUGUGGGUGGCAGAGCCCAAGAAAGUGGGCCAUCUUCUGCCUCCUUCCCUGGCACAUUAGCAAAGGAGCCACAUCACAUCCUGGAAAAGAGCAUUGCAAUGCUCUGCACUGCUGCAGUUGCCAGUCCAGGCUCUGUUCUCAAUCCUAGCUCUCUGCUCAUACAUACUGUGGGAGGCAGCAGGUGAUGGUUCAAGCAUGUGGGACUUGCCACACACCUAACAGACUCACGUUAAGCUCUGGGAGCCUGAUGUCAGCUUGGCCCAGCACUGGCAGUUUCAGAAUCAUGGAAGUAUACCGGAGACCAGACACUUAUUUCUGUCUCUUUGUCUCUGUCCUCCUGUCUCCCUGCCUUGCCUUUCUUACUUUCAAGAUUUGUUGUGUUUAGUUGAAAAGUGGAGUGACCUCAAGAGAGGGAGAGACAGAGAGACAGGGAGAUCUUCCAUCCCCUAGAAUACUGACCAAAUUGCCAAAAUGAUGGGGGGUUGACCUAGCUGAAGCUGAGAGCCCAGAAGUACAUGCUGGUCCCCACUGUGCUUGGCAGGGACCCAAGUGAUUAGGCCAUUUUGGGGCUGCCAUCCUGUUAGCAGGGAGCUUCAUAAGAAGUAGAACCCUGGCUCACGUUUACUGUGCCCAAGUGGGUAGCCGAGGCCCAGCACAAGGCUAGCCCCUCACUCAGCCUUUAAAAGUUGUGUAUUCAUUUGUCUUCAUCUGUUUUCUCAGUGAUGCUUUAACCUGAUUGGGACCCCAGUGCAUGUUGCUGGUUUGGAGCUGCUCCGUUUCUCUGGCUUCUGUCUGUCCGCAUCUCAAGUCAAAGAAGUUGUGGUUUUGCUAGAGAUUUUGGUUAUCAUGACAUUUGUUUGUUUUCUUUAUAAGAUGCCCUUCAUUUUUAAAAAAGAUUUAUUUAUUUAUAUGAAAGAGUUACAGAGAGAGAAGGAGAGGCAGAGAGAGAGAGAGAGAGAGAGAGAGAGAGAGAGAAAGGUCUUUCAUUUGCUGGUUCACGCCCAAGUUGACUGCAAUGGCUGGAACUGCGCUGAUCCAAAGCCAGGAGCCAGGAGCUUCUUCUGGGUCUCCCACGCAGGUGCAGGGGCUCAAGGACUUGGGCCAUCUUUUAUUGCUUUCCCAGGCCACAGCACAGAGCUGGAUUGGAAGUGGAGCAGCCGGGACUCAAACUGGUGCCCAUAUGGGGUGCCGGUACUGCAGGCAGUGGCCCUACUGGCCGAGACGCCGAGACGCCCUUCGUUGCCUGAAAGGGGAAUUAGGCAGAAAGAGACAGACCUUCUGUUUGUUGGUUCACUCUGCAAACGACUAUUGGGGCAGGCCAGGCCUUCCACAGCAAUCUGGAACUGCAUGCAGGUGGACCAAGUUGGUGGCAGGGCCCCCAGUACCUGAUCGAUCACCUGCUGCCUUCCCAGGUGCACUAGUAAGGACCUGGAUGGGAAGUGGAGUAGCCAGGAGUGAAACCUGUGCUCAUUUGGGAUUCCAGCAUGGCAGGAAGAGGCUUAACCCACUGGGGACAAUGCCAGCAGCCCCAAGGUGAGAUUUGAAACACCCUGCAGUAUAGGGUAUGCACUUGGUUCCACCAACAGUUCAGGUGUGUCUUGUGAUGCUCGCAUUGCAAAUGCCAGUGCAAUGGGUUCCACCACAGUCACGGUUCCCAUUCUAGUGUCCUGUUGUACACACUCUGGCAGUUCAUGGCCAGGGCUGUGGGGGCCUACCAUCCACAUGGGACACCUGGAGUAAGUGCCUGGCACCUGGCUUCAGCCUGGGCCAGCACUGGCUCUUUCAGGGUUUGGGUGGGAAAUCAGCACAUGGGAGAUUUCUGUCUUUUGUCUGUCUGUCUGCCAUGGGGUCUCUGCUUUUGCUAAUGGUUCAGAAAUUGUUUUAGUUACAGGAAAGGCAGAGGAACACAGAGGCAAAGAGAUUUCUAGAAAGAAGGAGGAAGAGAUUUUCAAUCUGGUGCUUCACAUACCACACGGCCUCCAUGGCUGUGUCAGGCCACUAUAAAGCCAGGAUCCGGGGACCCCAUCCUGGUCUCCUGUGUGCCUUCCCUGGCACAUUAGGAAGGAGCUGAAUCACAUCCCAGGCAGCCAGGAGUGCAACCCUCAGCAUUGCUACAGUUGGCAAGGCCAGGCUCUGGUCCCAAUCCUAUAUUCCUGGCCACACACCAUGUAGGAGGCAUCAGGUGGUGGUUCCAGCACUUGGGACUCUGCCACCCACCUGAAAGACUUGGCUUAACCAUCUGGGCAUGGUGUCACCCUGAAUCAGCACUACCAGUUUCAGAAAUUCAGGAGGGAAACAGCAAAUCAGACAUUUCUCUCUAUCUGUUUGUUUCCCCUGCCUCACUGUCUUGUCUUUGUUGAUUUCAAGAUUGAUUUUGUUUAAUUGAAGGUGGAGUGUCAGUGAGAGAUAGAGAGACAGAGCUGGAGGACUUCCAUUGCCUGGAUCACCACCCACAAAGGUUGCAAAGGCUUGGUCACUACCAGGGCUUCCUGCAUUGCCUGAAAGUGGACUUAAGCAGCAAGAACUGGUGUGGAAGAGACAGAUAUUUCAUCUGCUGGUUCACUCUUGACAUGGCUGUCUGUGCAGGCCAAGCCUUCCACAGCACCCUGGGGCUGUACGCAGAUCCGCCACGUGGGUGGCUGAUUAACCCACUGGGCUACAAUGUCAGCUACCAAGAUGAGGUUGGAAAAACCCUGCAGUGUGGGAUGUCCUUCAUUACUUGAAAGUGGACCUAGGCAACAAGAGCUGGUGAGGCAGAGAGACAGACCUAUCUGAUGGUUCUCCCGCCAAAUGGCUGAUGGGGCAAGUCAGGCCUUCCACAGCAACCUGGAACUGCAUCCAGGACUUCCUUCAUUGCCUCAAAGUGGACUUAGACAGCAUGGAAGAGAUAGCAGAUCUUCUGUCCACUGGUUCACUUCCCCAAAUGGCUGUCUGGGAGGGCCAGGCCUCCUACAGCAACCUGGAACUGUAUGCAGGUGGAGUGACAGCCAGAGAUGGAGAGACAGAGAGAGUUGGAGAACUUCCAUUUUCUGGAUCAUCCCCUAAAAUGGUGACAAAGACUUGGGCACAACCAGGUGGAAUCCAGGAGCCUAAAACUUCAUGCUCGUCUCCAUUGGGUGGUAGGAUCCCAAGUUAUUUGGCCAUCUUGAGCUGCCAUCCGAGGCGCAUUAGCAGAGUACUCAUGGAUAAGCACAAUCUGGUCUCCUGUAUGCCCCAAUGGGAGUGGCCACCUGAGGCCCAACACCCUGUGCCAUAGGGUAGCCGUAGGGUAGCCAUAGGCUCAGUCUUUGAAAGUUGUGCAUUCAUGACUUCAUCUGACCUCAUCUAGUUCUCACUGAUGCUUUAACCUCAUGGGGACUCCAGUGCAUACUGUUGGUCUGUGGGGCUGCUCUGUUUCUCUGGCUUCUAUCUGUCUUUUUGCCUUUCAUAUAUGCAAAGCUAUGAUUUUGGAAGAGAUUUUGGUUACCAUUACAUUUGUUUGCUUUCUUUGUAGGACAUCCUGCAUUGCCUGAAAGUGGACUUAGGCAGCGAGAACCAUCUUCUGGUUCACUCCCCAAAUGGCUGUUGAGCCAGGCCAAGCCUUACACAGCGACAUGGAACUGUACGCAGGUCAGACACAUGGGUAGGAGGGUCCCAAGAACCUGUUCCAUCACCUGACGCCUUGCUAGUGCAACAGCAGGGAGCUGGAUGGAAAGUGGACCAACUAGGACUAGAACCUUUGCUCAUGUGGGAAGCUGGCAUUGAAGGCAGUGGCUUACUAUCUGGGUCACAAAGCCAGCCUCCAGUAUGAGGUUGUGUGGGAAAUUCUGAAGUGUGGAAUACGCAUUUGGUCCAGCCAGCUCGGUUGUGUCUUGUGAUGCCCACAUCCCACAUGGCACUGCCUAGGUUAUACUCCACUCACUGUUCCAUUCCAGUGUCCUGCUCAUACAAACCAAGGUUGGCAACAGGUCACAGCAAGGACUGUUGGCCCUUACACCCACGUGGGGCACUUAAAGUAAGAGCCUGGUGCCCAGAGUCAGCCCAGACCAGUGAUAGCUCUUUCAGAGAUUUGGGGAGGAAAUCAGUAUGUGAGAGGUUUCUAUCUUUCCAUCUGUUGUUCUCCUCUGGCUCUCUGUUUUUCACUAAUGAGUUCAGAAGUACUUUAGUUAUGGGAAAGGAAGAGGAACACAGACACAAGGACAGAGAGAGAAAGAGAAAGAGAUCUUCUAUCUGCUGGUUCACACCCUAAACAGCCUCCAUGGCUGGGUCAGGCCCGUCUAAACCCAGGAUCUGGAAACCAUAUCCUAGUCUCCCGUGUGCUAUUGGCUUCCAUGGUAGGUUAGCAAGAAGCUGCGUCAGAGCCUAGGCGGCCAGCAAUGCAAUCCUAUGCAUUGCUGCAGUUGGCAAGUCCAGGCUUUCUGCCCAUACACGCUUGGAGGAAGCAGGUGAUGGUUCCCAAAUGUGGGGCCCUGCCACACAGCUGAGAGACCCAGGUAAGCUUCUGUGCCAGGGCUCAGCCUGGACCAACACCAGAAGUAUAAGAAAUUGGGAAGGGAAAAAGCAAACUAGACAUUUCUAUCUGCCUGUCUUCUCUGUUCACCUCUCUGCCUUGUCCUUUUGCUUCUAAGUUAUAUUUUGUUUAGUUGAAAGACAGAGUGUCAGUGACAGAUGGAGAGACAGACAGAGCUGGAAAUCUUCCAUUAUCUGGAUCACUCCUCCAAUGGCUGUAAAGGCCUGGGCAGCACCAGGUGGAGGCCAAGAGCCCAAACUUGCUUGCCUAUACCCGCUGUAGGUGAUGGGGACCCAAGCGAACAAGCCACCUUUGGCUGGAAUCCCAUUAGCCGGGAGCUGCAUGGGAAGCACAACCUGGGGUCUCAUUUGCCAUGCCUCAAUGGCCAGCUUAGGCCCAACCCCCUGUGCCACAAGGCUAGCCCCAUACUCAGCCUCAAAGUCAUGUAUUCAUGACUUUGUUUUUCUUCAUAAGUGUUCUCAGUGAUGCUUUAACCUGAUUAGAACCACAGUACAUAUUGCUGGUCUUUGGGGUUGCUCUGUUUUUCUGGUUUCUAUCUGUCUGUCUGCCUCUCAAGUCCACAAAACUAUGAUUUUUUGUUGAAAUUUUGGUUACCAUUACAUUUGUUUGUUUUUCUGUUUUCUUUGUAGGACUUCCUUCAUUGCCUUAAACUGGACUUAGGCUGCUAGAGCCAGCAUAGAAGAGAGAUAGAUCAUUCAUCUGCUGGUUCACUCCCCAAAUGGUUGUCAUGGCAGGCCAAGCCCUCCACAACAACCUAGCACUGCAUCCAGGUCUUCCACUUGGGUACAGGGGCCCGAGUACCUGAUCCAUCAUUGGAUGCCUUCCCAGUCCCAUUAGCAGGGAGCUGGAUGGGAAGUUGAGCAGCCAGGACUGGGACCUUUGCUCAUCUGGGAUGCCAGUAUUGCAGGUAGUGGCUCAACCUGCUAGACCACAAUGGCAGCCCCAAGAUGAGGUUGGAAAAACCUAAAGCAGUGGAGUACAUAUUUGGUCCAGUCAGCAGCUCAGUUGUGUCUUAUGAUGCCCAUAUCACACAAGGUAGCAGCUGGGUUCAACUCCAGGCUCUGUUCCCAAUCCAGCUUCCUGCUUGUACAUAACAAGGUUGACAACAGGUCAUGGGAAGGGCUAGGGUGGGAUACUUGGAGUAAGUGCCAUGCAGCUGGCUUCAGCCUGGUCCAGUGCUAACUCCUUCAGAAAUUUGGGAAGGAAAUCAACACAUGGCAGGUUUCUUUUUCAGUCUUUCUGCCCCCUGAAACUCUCUGUUUUUACCGAUGGGUUCUUGAAGUAUUUUAGUUAUAGGAAAGGCAGAGGAACACAGAGAUAAGAACACAAGAGAUAAGAAAGAGAAAGAGAGUUCUUCUAUAUACUUGUUCACACUCCACACGGGCCCCAUGGCUGGGUCAGGUCAGUCUAAAGUCAGGAUCUGGAAACCCCAUCCCAGUCUCUUGUGUGAUUGGGAGGGCCUUAGAAUGAGGGCCAUCUCUGCCUUCCCUGACACAUUAGCAAGGAGUUGCAUCGCAACCCUCUGCAUUGCUGCGGUUGCAAGCCCAGGCUCUGCUCCCAAUCCCAGCUUCCUGCCCACACACAUUGUAUGAAGCAGCAGAUGUAGAUUCCAGCUCAUGGGACCCUGCCACACAGUUGAGCCACCUGUGUUAAGCUCCUGGGGCCUGGCGUCAGCCUGACCCAGCACUAGCAGUUUCAGAAUUUGGGGAGCGAAACAGCAGAGCAGACAUUUAUGUCUAUCUGUCUCUGUCCACCUUUCUACCUGCCUUAUUUUUCUUGCUUUUAAGAUUUGUGUUUAGUUGAAAAGUGGAGUGAUAGCAAGAAAGGGAGAGCAGAGUGACAUGGAGGUUUUCCAUCCCCUGGAGUACCCCCAAAUGGCCAAAAUGGCUGUGGUGGGACCUGGCCAUACCUGGUAGGCCAGGACUACAUGCUAGUCCCUGCUGUGGGUUUCAGGGGGCUUAACUGAUAAGGGCUGUCUUGGAUUGCCAUGCCUGGCACAUUAGCAAGGAGUUGCAUAGGAAGCAGAACUUGAGCUCCAAUAAUUUACCCUUCAAAUGGCCAGCUGAGGCCCAACUCCUUGUGCCAUAAGACUAUCCCCACUCUCAGCCUUUGGAAGUCAUGUAUUGCUGACUUCAUUUGACUUCAUCUGUGCUCUCAGUGACAUUUUAACCUGAUCAGGACUCCAGUGCAUAUUGCUAGUCUUUAGGGCCACGGUGAUUCUCUGCCUUCUGUCUGUGUCUUCCUCUCAAAUCAAAAGCUGUGGUUUUGCUAGAGUUGGGUUUUAUUUUUUUUUAAACUUUUAUUUAAUGAAUAUAAAUUUCCAAAGUACAGCUUAUGGAUUACAAUGGCUUCCCCCCCCAUAACUUCCCCCCCACCGGCAACCCUCCCCUUUCCCUCUCCCUCCCCCUUCCAUUCGCAUGAAGAUUCAUUUUCAAUUCUCUUUAUAUACAGAAGAUCAGUUUAGCAUACAUUAAGUAAAGAUUUCAACAGUUUGCACCCACAUAGAAACACAAAGUGAAAAAUACUGUUUGAGUACUAGUUAUAGCAUUAAAUCACAAUGUACAGCACAUUAAGGACAGAGAUCCUACAUGAGGAGUAAGUGCACAGUGACUCCUGUUGUUGACUUAACAAAUUGACACUCUUUUUUAUGGCAUCAGUAAUCACCCUAGGCUCUUGUCAUGAGUUGCCAAGGCUAUGGAAGCCUUUUGAGUUCACCAACUCUGAUCAUAUUUACGUAGUCAGAGUGGAAGUUCUGUCCUCCCUUCAGAGAAAGGUACCUCCUUCUUUGAUGACCUGUUCUUUCCACUAGGCUCUCACUCGCGGAGAUCUUUCAUUUAGGUCAUUUUUUUUUUUUGCCAGAGUGUCUUGGCUUUCCAUGCCUGAAAUACUCUCAUGGGCUUUUCAGCCAGAUCCACAUGCCUUAAGGGCUGAUUCUGAGGCCAGAGUGCUGUUUAGGACAUCUGC